rnacentral:rRNA from 1 species
GAUGAACGCUGGCGGCGUGCUUAACACAUGCAAGUCGAACGAUGAAGCCCAGCUUGCUGGGUGGAUUAGUGGCGAACGGGUGAGUAACACGUGAGUAACCUGCCCUUCACUCUGGGAUAAGCCUGUUAAACUGGGUCUAAUACCGGAUAGGAGCGUCCACCGCAUGGUGGGUGUUGGAAAGAUUGAUCGGUUUUGGAUGGACUCGCGGCCUAUCAGCUUGUUGGUGAGGUAAUGGCUCACCAAGGCGACGACGGGUAGCCGGCCUGAGAGGGUGACCGGCCACACGGGGACUGAGACACGGACCAGACUCCAACGGGAGGCAGUAGUGGGGAAUAUUGCACAAUGGGCGCAAGCCUGAUGCAGCGACGCCGCGUGAGGGAUGACGGCCUUCGGGGUGUAAACCUCUUUCAGUAGGGAAGAAGCGAAAGUGACGGUACCUGCAGAAGAAGCACCGGCUAACUACGUG